GAGUUUGAUCCUGGCUCAGAUUGAACGCUGGCGGCAUGCCUUACACAUGCAAGUCGAACGGUAACAGCUCUUCGGAGGCUGACGAGUGGCGAACGGGUGAGUAAUACAUCGGAACGUGCCCGAUCGUGGGGGAUAACGGAGCGAAAGCUUUGCUAAUACCGCAUACGAUCUACGGAUGAAAGCAGGGGACCCUCGGGCCUUGCGCGAACGGAGCGGCCGAUGGCAGAUUAGGUAGUUGGUGGGAUAAAAGCUUACCAAGCCGACGAUCUGUAGCUGGUCUGAGAGGACGACCAGCCACACUGGGACUGAGACACGGCCCAGACUCCUACGGGAGGCAGCAGUGGGGAAUUUUGGACAAUGGGCGAAAGCCUGAUCCAGCAAUGCCGCGUGCAGGAUGAAGGCCUUCGGGUUGUAAACUGCUUUUGUACGGAACGAAAAGUCUCGGGAUAAUACCCUGGGACCAUGACGGUACCGUAAGAAUAAGCACCGGCUAACUACGUG
rnacentral:rRNA from 1 species